rnacentral:rRNA from 1 species
UGGGUAACCUGCCUCAAAGAGGGGAAUAGCCUCCCGAAAGGGAGAUUAAUACCGCAUAAUAUGUUUAGGUCGCAUGACUUUAACAUCAAAGGAUUUUCUUUUAGAAAUUCCACUUUGAGAUGGACCCGCGGCGCAUUGGCUAGUUGGUGAGGUAACGGCUCACCAAGGCAACGAUGCGUAGCCGACCUGAGAGGGUGAUCGGCCACAUUGGAACUGAGACACGGUCCAGACUCCGUAGGGAGG